GACGAACGCUGGCGGCGUGCUUAACACAUGCAAGUCGAGCGGUAAGGCCCUUUCGGGGGUACACGAGCGGCGAACGGGUGAGUAACACGUGGGCGACCUACCCUCAGCUUCGGGAUAAGCCUGGGAAACUGGGUCUAAUACCGGAUAUGACCUUCCCUCGCAUGGGGGUUGGUGGAAAGUUUUUCGGUCGUGGGGAGUGGCCCGCGGCCUAUCAGCUUGUUGGUGGGGUGGAUGGCCUACCAAGGCGACGACGGGUAGCCGGCCUGAGAGGGCGACCGGCCACACUGGGACUGAGAUACGGCCCAGACUCCUACGGGAGGCAGCAGUGGGGAAGUAUUGCGCAAUGGGCGGAAGCCUGACGCAGCGACGCCGCGUGGGGGAU
rnacentral:rRNA from 1 species